rnacentral:tRNA from 1 species
AGUCUAGCGGUUAGAAUGCUGGCCUUGUAAUCCAGGGGUCUCGGGUUCGAUUCCCGG